rnacentral:rRNA from 1 species
ACGCUCGACACCUACUGGAGGCAGCAGUGGGGAAUAUUGCACAAUGGGGGAAACCCUGAUGCAGCGACGCCGCGUGGAGGAAGAAGGUCUUCGGAUUGUAAACUCCUGUUGUUGGGGAAAAAGAGGAUGGUACCCAACAAGGAAGUGACGGCUAACUACGUGCCAGCACGCCGNGUAUNUGNGGCGGCGUGACGAGC